ensembl:misc_RNA Metazoa_SRP Metazoan signal recognition particle RNA
GCCGGGCGCGGUGGUGGGCACCUGUAGUCCCAGCUACUCGGGAGGCUGAGGCAGGAGAAUCUCUUGAACCCAGGAGUUUGAGGUUGCAGUGAGCCAAGAUCAUGCCACUGCACUCCAGCCUGGGUGACAGAGCGAGACUCUGUCUCAA